UACGGAGGAUGCGAGCGUUAUCCGGAUUUAUUGGGUUUAAAGGGUGCGCAGGCGGAUUUUUAAGUCAGCGGUCAAAUCGUGGGGCUCAACCCCAUCCAGCCGUUGAAACUGACACCCUUGAGUGAGUGAGAAGUAAGCGGAAUGCGUGGUGUAGCGGUGAAAUGCAUAGAUAUCACGCAGAACGCCGAUUGCGAAGGCAGCUUACCGGCGCUCAACUGACGCUGAGGCACGAAAGUGCGGGUAUCGAACAGG
rnacentral:rRNA from 1 species